UACGAAGGGUGCAAGCGUUACUCGGAAUUACUGGGCGUAAAGGGUGCGUAGGUGGUCGUUUAAGUCCGUUGUGAAAUCCCUGGGCUCAACCUGGGAAUGGCAGUGGGUACUGGACGGCUAGAAUGCGGUAGAGGGUAGUGGAAUUCCCGGUGUAGCAGUGAAAUGCGUAGAGAUCGGGAGGAACACCAGUGGCGAAGGCGGCGAUCUGGGAAGAUACUGACGCUGAGGUGCGAAAGCGUGGGGAGCAAACAGG
rnacentral:rRNA from 1 species